CCCACUUCUCCCACACCUUGGCCGCCGCCCCCUGCCCAUCUCCUCCUCUCUCAAUUCUUGCAGCCACACCACCAAAACCCUAGCCGCCCCCCCCAAUCUCCUCCUCCCAAGGUGCCAAUCCUUGCCGCUCGGAUCAUCGUCACGUGGUGCGAGUCUUCAAUCGUUUUGGUGGAGGGAAGAAGGGAGGAAGGAAAGGGGGAGAAUCCAAGGUGAUUUUUGUGUUCAUCCCUUGUUCAUUUGCGCUGCAAUUCAAUUGAUUAGAGGUUGCGUUUGCGAUUGGGUAGAGGGGGCUGUCCAGAAUUUUAGGUGGUGGAUGAACAGCAGUAGUUCUAGCAGUUUCUGUGUUUUUUUCGUGAGAAAUUAAGGGAAACCAGUUUGGGGAUCAUGCAGAACUUUGCCUUACCUUUCCAACGAGUAUUUAUGUGCUCAAUUUGGAGUUAUAAAUUGAAAGUUAUCACCGUUUGAAUCCGGGUAUGUGGCUGUCCAAAAAAAACAGAUUUUCAGGGGGAUGAACAGCAGCAGUAUUAGCAGUUUCUGGGGAUUUUUCGGGAGUAAUUUGGGUUAAUCAGUAUAAGAAUCAUGAAGGGCUCUUUCUUAUCUUUCCAACAAGUACUUAUGCGCUUGAUUCAGAAUUAUAUUUUAAAAGUUAUCGCUGUUUGAAUCCGAGUAUGUCGCUGCCCAAAACAGGAAAAAACAGAUUGCAGGGUUUAUUUUGUGGACCGUUUAGGGGUAAUUAGAUGUUAGAAUUUAAUCAUAAAUUGUAUACAAAACUUGUGGGGAAUUUUAUGUAGUUGCCUCUGGAGUUUUUGUUUGACUCCACUGCUGUCUUAAUUUUAAAGUUAUGGAAUUGUUAAGCAGCGCCGCUGCCGUUUGGUUGGUGUGGGGAGAAUUGUUACCCGCGGCGGGGUUUGAGAUUGCGCGUAGGUGCGGCGUUGUUUUGAGUUUUUUUAUGUCAAUUUGGUGCACUAAGUUGGGUGUCAAAAACAGGUGGUGGACUCCCAGAUCGUUCUUAGGGAUUUUCCCAAACUUCCGGUGAAGGCAAGUAAAACUGUGAUGGUUAUUCCGUCUGUCAGAUGAGGAGUCUUAUACUUGAUUAUGUUGUGCUAUUGUGUUCAUAUUCAUAUUUUCUUUUGAGUACCAUCAUUUGAAAAUGUUCAUGUUUCAUGGAUUUCAUAUGUUGAAUUUGAGGUUUGAUUAUGUUACUCAAGUGGUUAUUAUGUGGAAUGGGUGGAAGUAAAUGUCUAGCACAUUUUAUUUGGGAAGAACUCAUGAUGUCGUCAUGCAUAAUGCACUCAUCAUCCAUUGCAUUGAAGUUUCGUCGCGAUCUUAUGGUCCGACCGUACCGGUACAUUGAGCAUCAUAUGUUGCCCGAGAAGGGGUAUGGUGCAGCUUCAUAUCCUUAGAGAUAUGGAGGCAGAAGUCAUUAUUGCAUUUGUAGCCAUGUGCAUUCAUGGGAGAGGUGUGGAAUCUAUUAUGUGGAUGUGGAUAAUUUGGACUUGUGCAUGGUGAUUCUACUUGGCGUUGAGUUUUUAGUUACUUGUAUACUUGCUGCAAUUUACUGUUCAAAAGAAAAGAAAGAAGUUCUGAACACGUGGUUGUGUAAGCACAAUUGAUUUACAAUGUCCUAUUUGUUGUUGUUAUGUUUACUUGCUGAGAUGUGUUAUCUCACAUCUUGCAUUGUUUGAUGCAGGCACCUAAUUUCUGCUUUGGGAAUAGAGGGAUGUAGCAGCACGACCACUACACCUUUAAUAAAGGAACCACCAUUUAAUAAUGUUGUUAAUCAGAGUUGGUCAAGUCUAGUGAAUUGCUUUGUUCUUGGUUGAGCGUUUAUUUUGGGGUGGGCUGAGUUUCUUAUCCCAUUUUUUUUACUUCAGUUGGGGCAUAAAUGAGCUUUACCACUUUGCAUCUAGUUUCUACUAUGUGAAUGAUAUGUCUUUAUAUCCUGUAUGAACUUCAUGUUUUCCCCUCCUUGUUAUGUUAGUUUCAAAGGAGGUGCUGCCGGAUUUUGCUAUAUUUUCUUUCUUUAUUACGCCUCUUGUGUGGAGUAAGUUAGGUGG
rnacentral:lncRNA from 1 species